GACGAACGCUGGCGGCGUGCUUAACACAUGCAAGUCGAACGAAGUGGCGAACGGGUGAGUAACGCGUAAUCAACCUGCUCUUCAGAGGGGGACAACAGUUGGAAACGACUGCUAAUAACGCAUACUGAAGGAGGGGCUGGAGGCGGAUUAGCUAGUUGGGGGGGUAACGGCCCACCAAGGCGAUGCUCAGUAGCCUGUCUGAGAGGAUGAACGGCCACAUUGGGACUUGGACACGGCCCAGACUCCUACGGGAGGCAGCAGUGGGGAAUCUUCCGCAAUGGACGAAAGUCUGACGCGGCAACGCCGCGGGAGUGAUGACGGCCUUCGGGUUGUAAAGCUCUGUUAGUCAGGACGCGGUACCGGAAUAGAAAGCCACGGCUAACUACGUGCCAGCAGCCGCGGUUAUUC
rnacentral:rRNA from 1 species